GAUAGAGCAAAAGAAAAGAGCUAUAAAAUGACGGAGAAGCUACAGUCAUGGAAACACAGAAAUGUGACUAGGAACCCCAUAUCAGACCAGGCUACCAUGCUGAGUGGACUGCCUAACCCCGAUGGCACCACCCUGGCUCACCAAGGCCCCCUCAGCCAUGACAAAACCCAACCAGUCCUGCACUUCUAGUGGGUCAAGAUCAGAGGAACCUGAGCGGUGCCAACAACUGGUCUAGAUGCAACGAUCUACGGCUCACGACAGAUCCUUAGUGUGAGUUUGGUCCGAGUGGACUGUUGUUGUCUGUCAGUCAGGCCAGGAAGGCCAACUGCUGUCUGCUCCAAUUACAGCCUACAAGGCGGAGGGGAGAGUAUGUGUCACCCCCACACCCUUUCAGGCCCACAGCUGCUGUGUUCUGUGAUGCUGUGCGUCGCCGAUUGGCUCAUGUAUUCAUGUACGGUGAAUGUCUGCAAAUUUGUGAUUCAGCAUUCAGGGUACCACAAACUUGCCGAUAUUUUGUGAGGCGAAAAAAAAAACAAUUACGGAAAAUUUGUGCUUUUUUUUCUCAGAAAAUAGGCCAUUGUUUGGCAGACAACACAUCUAAUUCGUCCUAAACUGAUCAUAUUUUACAAAAUUGUGAUAAUACAGCAUAAAAUGCACAGCAUAAUAAUACAGCAUACAGGAUAGCAUAUAUGUUACGAUGUAACGACGAUGGCAGGCCUGUGUGGCUACAAAAACACUAGCUUUGACAGUCAGCUUUGUUGCAGUCCGGCCUCAAAACUUGCAGCGAGGUGAACACAAAUUAAUAUAUGAUCAUAAGUCGUUUACGGUGUGGAGAAACGCCUUCUUGGACUGCUCGGACGAGCAGGAUAACCCAGUGGGCUGUGGAAUAGCGGAAUCGUGUACCAGAGCUAGCCGCUUUAGAGGGAGAUGAAGGCAGCCCCACAAUAGACAGAAGCGUGGUUGUAGCGCUAGCCUGACGACCAGGCUAAGUGCUAGACUGUGACUCUGAUUCUGUCCGUUCUAUCGAUUACCGUACAUUAUCGUUCAUUAGUGGUAAGUACCUCAUGUAAAAUGUGUUUAAUAAGUGUGUGAGGCGUAUUAUAAGUCUUAAACCUGCAAUAGGCUUCAAUGCAUUUAGCUUGUUAGCUUUCUUUGUCAUGAGAGAUCAAUUGAAGAGAGACAGGGGAUGAAUCUAAUAAUUAAAACAGUCGCUUUUAUUGCAAAUGUUGAUCCAGAAUUGGAGGAUAACGUCAACAUCAAGUUAGCAGGAGGUUUUGGAGGAGAAGGAGCAAGCCAUUGUAGCGUACUGUGGCGCCGAAGCAACGCAACAGCAUAAUCCAGGCUUUUUUAGAGUGUAAAAAUAGACAUUUUUAUGGCCGUCUCAAUGACUCACGUUUAUUUGCCAUUCCCGAGUGAUGUUGAACUGUAACCCCCGCGAACAGCGAGUAUCUACUGUACAAACAGCUUAUACUUUUGAAGCCAUAACAACUACUUAUCGAGGAAGUGCUUUUUUCCAAGAGUGUGUGAAUUUUGGAGCAAUUGUGAGGUCAGAGGACCUUGCUUUCAUGCCGUGCUGGAUGGGCCUUCGCCAAAAUAGACAGCCAUGGAACAAAUGAUUGAUGUGCCGCUUAGCGGUGAGCAACAACACACCACCAUCAUUUAUGAUCCACUCUCACCGCCAUUUGGUCCUCGGCCAAUUUAAUUCCCAUAGAAGCAAAGUGUUAACAGCGAGCUGCAUCAACAAUAGAUCACUUGAGUUUUUAUCGGCCGCGUUGAGUGGGAUUGUUUUCCUGGGAUUAGGCGCAUCAGCAACAAGUGAGAGAUGGCAAAGUGUUGACGUUAUUAGUGUAAAAUCAAUCUGAUGGUGCUAAGGAUCCACAGUUAAUUAAAUUAAGAAGGCAUCCGCCUAAUUGAAUUUGUUUUUUAGUCAUUUUCUUGAUUGACUAAAUGUUAAAUUAACCUGUUCUGUGUCAGAACAACAUUGGAUCUUAAAGGAUGGCUGACCCAAGAUGGUUGGGGUCAACUCUGUCCCAAUACAGGGUCUACUGUCGUCCCUUGCUACACUGCGGUUUGAAGAUCGCUCCCUCACUCUUUUUUAAAAAUUAAUUAAUUCAUAAUUGAUUGCUGCUUGGUGAUUGACUGUAGUCUAUUAUUUGUAUAAAAAAGACAAGUUAUAUGUAGUAUUCUGGUCAGUAGGCGUCAGUAAUGUUACAUUGAUGAGACAUGGCAUUAGAUUACAUUACCUCCACACUGCAUGGACUCAGCCAUGGCAAGUCGGACAUGAUAGAAUAAAAAUGUUCUCUCUCUAACAUUCCGUCUGUAAGUGGUACGUUUUUGGCUGAAAUUCACUCAGCGUGAGUUUGAUUGAUCGACCAAUAAGCGGACAGGAUGCUAAUCGGUACGCAAUACUUGCCGUGUCAGAUUUCCUGGAGCUAUUUGACCUUUCUAAACAAAUAAUAUUGAGAAGAAAUAUAAUAUAAAGAAAAAAGCAGCGGCUUGGGAACUCGGCGCCAGGGUAAACAUAUCGGGUAAGUUUACAUGAAUUUUCAUGGACAUUUAUGUAAGUUUAUCUUCAACACUAGCAAGAUCCGAUACCAGCAGGAGCCCUCGAUCAACAUUGGCCGCUUUUCCUUCUCUGAACUACUUUGAUACCCCGAAAUUCCCUCCAUAUCUGACAGCCAAUCGAACCGUGGGAGACUCGUACAACUCUCUCUGGAUGUGAAUGCGUCGCCCACCUGUGUAGCUGGUCACAAUCGCUUGUCGCCUCCCGUGCGCAUGGUUUCAUACGCGAUGGCGAUGAAUUUUGCCAAUCGCGGUCGUUUGUCGCCUCCUGUGUGUGGUGCCCAAAAUUGUGUGACUAUAACUCCAUCAGACUGUAUGGCUCUUUUAUCUUGUAGGUGUGUAUUUCUAUUUAUAUGGGAUGUGUAUUGUAUGUGAAUGUGAUAACAAUGUGUAAUGGGCUGUAGAGUGAUUAUUGGUUUCCAUUUAUAGCGACUACUGAUUGAGAUAAGGGAUGAUAUAAAAUAGAUCCCGAACCUUAACCUGGUCUGGAGCAGGCUAACUCCACAGAAUAAAUCUCCAUGGUAACUUACGUCAGAACAUAUCCCACUUUCCACUACCCCACUUUUGUGCAACUGGAUCACGGGUAAAUUAAGCCAGGAUAACCAAGAUAUCCCUUAUCUUGGUUUUGUUCAAAAGGCCCCUGGUUGUCAUGCGUUCACAUCGUCACGCUUCUUGAAAUACUGAUGACCACGUCCGCAAAGAAGAGAAAAAGUAAAAAGCAAAGGCUGAAUACAGUAAAAUAUUUUUGAUUUAUUUUUAUUUGUGUGGAAAAGCAGAUUUACCUCCAGCUCAGAGAGGACCAGCGGUAAACGUUUUAUUUUUUUUUAACCUUAUUAAUAUUAAAUUACUUGAUUGAUGAGUUUGGAGCUACUUAGCCCAUUUGUACAGUGCUUUGAUCAUUAUAGUUAUUUUGAAAUGAGCUUUAUAUGUACAGUAGAUUUGAGCCAU